rnacentral:lncRNA from 1 species
UGCAUUUUCUCAAGCACCCAACAUGCAGUAUCCUGCUUCUCAGCCGGUUCCCCAUGCGUCUCAUACUUACCAAUCACCCUUGCAACCUGUUCGAUCCCAUGCGUCUCAUACUUACCAAUCACCCUCACAACCUGUUCCAUCCCAUGCGUCUCAUACUUAUCAAUCACUGUCCCAACCUGUUCCAUCCCAUGUGUCUCAUACUUAUCAGUCACCCUUGCAACCUGUUCCAUCCCAUGCGUCUCAUACUUACCAAUCACCCUCCAAACCUGCUCCACCUAUAGGUACACAAAGAGAUAAUAAACUGCAGAUUCCAACAAACCCUAGAAUCACUUCAAAUCCAACCUUUGGGUUACCAAAAACUGACAAGGAU